rnacentral:rRNA from 1 species
AUUGAACGCUGGCGGCAUGCUUUACACAUGCAAGUCGAACGGUAACAGGCCGCAAGGUGCUGACGAGUGGCGAACGGGUGAGUAAUGCAUCGGAACGUGCCCAGUCGUGGGGGAUAACGCAGCGAAAGCUGUGCUAAUACCGCAUACGAUCUAUGGAUGAAAGCGGGGGACCGUAAGGCCUCGCGCGAUUGGAGCGGCCGAUGUCAGAUUAGGUAGUUGGUGGGGUAAAGGCCCACCAAGCCGACGAUCUGUAGCUGGUCUGAGAGGACGAACAGGCACACUGGGACUGAGACACGGCCCAGACUCCUACGGGAGGCAGCAGUGGGGAAUUUUGGACAAUGGGCGCAAGCCUGAUCCAGCAAUGCCGCGUGCAGGAAGAAGGCCUUCGGGUUGUAAACUGCUUUUGUACGGAACGAAACGGUCUGGGUUAAUACCCUGGGCUAAUGACGGUACCGUAAGAAUAAGCACCGGCUAACUACGUGCCAGCCGCCGCAGUAAAAC